rnacentral:miRNA from 1 species
AAUGUAGCUCACAAAGCGUUCA